rnacentral:tRNA from 1 species
GACACUUUGCCCGAGUGGUAAGGCGGCGGCCUGCUAAGCCGUUGGCUCUGCCGCGGGAGUUCGAAUCUCCCAGGUGUCG